GCAAGUAUUGAAUCUGUGAGAGAGGAAUUGCAAUCACUGCAUCCCGAUGAUCCACAGAUUGUGGUUUUAAAACACAAGGUUUGGCGCGUGAAGGGUCUGAUUCAGAUCUCAAGAUCCAUAGGUGAUGCCUAUUUAAAGAGGGCAGAAUUCAACAGAGAGCCUCUGUUGGCUAAAUUUAGAUUGCCCGAACCCUUCGAUAAGCCAAUUCUUAAAGCUGAGCCAACAGUUUCAGUACAGAAACUCUAUCCUGAGGAUCUAUUUCUUAUAUUUGCAUCAGAUGGCCUAUGGGAGCACCUAAGCAAUCAGGAAGCGGUUGACAUUGUCAACAAUUGCCCACGUAA
rnacentral:misc_RNA from 1 species